GGGCCCGCACAAGCGGUGGAGCAUGUGGUUUAAUUCGAUGAUACGCGAGGAACCUUACCAGGGCUUAAAUGUAGUAUGACCGGCUUGGAAACAGGCCUUCUCUUCGGAGCAGAUUACAAGGUGCUGCAUGGUUGUCGUCAGCUCGUGCCGUGAGGUGUUAGGUUAAGUCCUAUAACGAGCGCAACCCCUGUCGUUAGUUACCAGCAAGUAAUGUUGGGUACUCUAGCGAGACUGCCGGUGCAAACCGUGAGGAAGGUGGGGAUGACGUCAAAUCAUCAUGCCCCUUACAUCCUGGGCUACACACGUACUACAAUGCUACGGACAAAGGGCAGCAAGUUCGCGAGGACAAGCAAAUCCCAUAAACCGUGGCUCAGUUCAGAUCGUAGGCUGCAACUCGCCUACGUGAAGGCGGAAUCGCUAGUAAUCG
rnacentral:rRNA from 1 species